GCCACUCCCCUCAGGUAGCCUAGUGGUCAUGGCAUCUGCCCGGUGAGCGGAAGGUCGUGGGUUCGAUUCCCAUCCCUUGACA
rnacentral:tRNA from 1 species